rnacentral:rRNA from 1 species
GAAAGUAGCUUGCUACUUUUGCCGGCGAGCGGCGGACGGGUGAGUAAUGCCUGGGAAAUUGCCCAGUCGAGGGGGAUAACAGUUGGAAACGACUGCUAAUACCGCAUACGCCCUACGGGGGAAAGCAGGGGACCUUCGGGCCUUGCGCGAUUGGAUAUGCCCAGGUGGGAUUAGCUAGUUGGUGAGGUAAUGGCUCACCAAGGCGACGAUCCCUAGCUGGUCUGAGAGGAUGAUCAGCCACACUGGAACUGAGACACGGUCCAGACUCCUACGGGAGGCAGCAGUGGGGAAUAUUGCACAAUGGGGGAAACCCUGAUGCAGCCAUGCCGCGUGUGUGAAGAAGGCCUUCGGGUUGUAAAGCACU